UUCAAGUUUCGAGAUUUGGAGUUGGAGCAUGGUGUAAGAUUAUGAAUUUAUGACUCUUGUUGGAGUCUGUUGGAGUCUUGCCGGGUUGGAGCUGACUUGUAAGCAUGGUGUAAUAAAUUCUGAUUGCUACUUUUCUUUAAGCACGAUUUUGCUGGUAAGUGGUAACACGGCAAACAAACUUUAUAGAUAUAAGAUUCGGUUUCGGGCUGCCGCACACUAGAAAUCUCACUUGAAGAGUUUCUUUUUGGUCGCGCCUAUCGAGGGGCAAUAGACUUUUUGGCUAAUUACCCCUCAACUUUUGAGGGGCAAUAGACUUUUUUUGCUAUUGCCCCUCCUAAAAAUGCCAGAUGGCAUUGGUUACGGGGAAGGGUAGGCCUUCUGACUGUUUUUUCUUUUUUUUUAUUGUGUGAUACUACAGACUACGAAGUAAAGACCGCUAUCAUCGCCAUAAGGCUGAGAGAAAUCUAGUAGGCGAUGCCUAGUCUUACCGCUAGGGGCGCGGGAGUAUACUUUCUGAAAUGUUUCUACUUUUUCUAAUGUUAGUAGUACUGAAUACGUGCUUCACACACACGUAUUAGCGGGAAUUGUACUUAACUUUACGUCAUAAACUGUACACCUUAAUUUUCUAGAUCCCCUUCCUGUAUACUGUGAAUUAUUUCAAAAUUAUAUUCUAAUUCUUUGGUAUGGUAAUAAAAUUAUACAUUUACCCCCUCUUUUCCCUAUUUUUCAGAUCGUGAAACCCUGCACGGUGGGCUCUAUACAACUGAAAAAUAGGGAAAAAGAGGAGGUAGCCUUUAGAGGGAUUGAGUCAGAAUGCUAAAGGAAACCGGCCAGAAUGCUAGUGCGAAAAUACAAGCUAUGAACAAUGCCAGUUUAUUUAACCAAUGUAUCAGGAUUUUCAAAAUGUCACGAAAAAACCUUAUUUGAGUGUAUAUGUGAAAAUGCCCAUUUCCCUUGCUUAAAACUGGGCCACCUUGUCCUCCCAAAAUGAAACAUGCAAUAUUAUUGGAAAAGCUGGAGAUCAGCAUAGGUGGAAAAUUCUUCAACUACUUGUCAAUUCGCCGCCCAGUGAUAAAAAAGUGAGAUUCUUUACAAAUAUUCUACAUAAAUCUUUACAGAAAGAAGGAUUUAAAAAAAAGCCGGUGCCCGAAACUGCUAUUGAUUUCACAGAUCUCAGUCAAUGUCAAUCCUCGUAAGAGACUGAUGUUCCAGUCAAGGUAAAGGACCCAGCUUUGCUGUUUCGUGGCAUUCUAAUAACCAAGAACCAUAAGAACGUUCGCAGCCUUGGUAACAUUUAUUACCCCUUCCUAGCUGAUUGUAAAAUGACUGGUGCCAGCGUUGAUUAAGGAUCAAACCCUCCGAGAUGCCCAAAGUGGAUCACCGUCGUUGUAGUCCACCGUGUUUCCGAAAUUCAACAUUAAAGGUCAACUGACGCCGUAAUGAACUGCAGCCUUUUGUCAUCAUGUAUGGAGCAGUAUAAAAGACUUGCAUUACCGUUCCUCUUAAUGUAGGGUUGAGUAACACUGGCUAUGAAGAGAUUCAAAACGGAUACGGGCUCUGCGAGGCUGCCAAGACGAACUAAGCGGAAGACGGGUGGUACCUAGUGCCAAGUCAUGCCGUAGCAUUCGUGUGCCAUCGUCUCACAGAGUGCAUCCCCCUCAAGGAUCGUAGAUCUCGUAUCUGAUAGCGAUCUGGGAUGCACUUUCGUAGGGAGCACCCCCCGUCUGAAUCUCGGAAAGAGUCAGUGCCUCAUCCCUCGUUUUUAAAAUUGAACUUAGUAGUAUAGUAUUAAGGAUUAGUUUACUUAGUUUUAAGGAAGUGAAACAAGACAAAUUCCAAUAGCCCUGUUUGGUGCCGAAUGUUUCAAAUCAGUCAAUAAUUACUAGCAAAAAAAAAUUAGUAAGUAAAUUAACUUAUUAGUAAUGCUGAUUGAAUUUUUUACAAGCACACGAUUUUCGUCCAAUGAACACAAUUUUUCCUAGUGCGUUCAUUACACAUAGUAACUUGAGGUGGAGAUAUUAGCAUAACUCGCAUCACGCGAAACCUGCCAGAAGUUGUCAUAGAAUUGAAGGAGUACCAGGCGCUUACCGCCAAACAUGCUCUACAUGUUUCAUAGCGCAAGGGAUUUGUUUUUUGUUUUUGUUUUUUUCUUUUUUUUUUCUUCUCUCUUCUUCUGUUUUAAAUACGCCACACGGAGAAUUUCAGAUUCUAGUGCGAAAGAUCUAAAUUCAAGUUUUAUCUUAAGCUGAAAUAAGACGCUGAAUGUCGUAUGGAUAAUGUGAUAUUGAUAUAGAGGCGAAAGGAUGAUGUACAUGUGAUGCUAUUAUAGGGAAGUGAUAAAGGAUUUUUCAUCGUUUCAAGUUUUUGAAAAGUAAACUGUUGUGUUUACUUGAGUUAAAUUUAAUUAAAUGUAACGAUAGUUAGCAAUAUGGUACGAUGUCUUUGGCAAAGGAAAUCUUUGAAAUAAAACAUACACUGGUGAAAGAGAACAUCAGAAACAAUAUAAUAAUCAUGAGUGUCAAAGAAUGACAACUGCAACACAAAUCAUCCUGCAUGAUAUCUAACAAUGAUUUUGUUAUAGUAUUUCCUAUCCAAUUUUCUGCCGGAUGUCUUUGAUCGAUAAUUUGUAGGAUAAUACAGCUAUGGCUGAAAUAAUUGUAAAAAUUUUGACUACAUGAAAAGUUGACGGAAGCUGAAGUUCACUUUUUUCGCUAGACCAAUCCCAGCGUGCACUCCUCAGUUAUUAUGUGCUUGAUCUACUCACUUAUACUGUGUUAAGGCACAACAAAUAAAAAAAAAAAAGAAACACUCAGUUUAACUUGUAAAAGAUAAUCACAAACAAUAGAAGUAUCACAACGCCAUCUAUUUUUACUGUAAAAAAAUUUAAGCUCUUUAUAAGACCGACUUUUUAUUUAUUUUCGGAAGUAACCGGAAGUAGCCAAUAUCUCAAAAAAUUUCAAUCCCAUAAAAAAACGAGUAGGAUUUUCGUGAUCAUUAUCAAAUUUGGGUUGGGAAUGGCGUGUUUUAGCCAAAAGUUGGAUUUGACGAAAAUCGCGAUUUUUCAUGUUCAGGAAAAUUUGCGAUUUUUGACGAUUUUCGGGUAUUUUGUGCUGACCCAUAGAGUCGACAACAAAUUUGACGAGGAUCACGAAAUAUAAAUCUUUUUUUCUGACAGAUCAACAAAUAAAGAGUUAUUUGACAUUUUAAACCCGGAAGUAAAACCGGAAAUCGAAAUUUCAGAAACCCAAACAAUGACCCUUUUUUUUAAAUUGUUAAUAAGAUUUGUCUAGUUGCAAAGAUAGACCAAUAUAAUUAAAUGUUAACGGGGAUUGUUUACAUUUCUGAAAGUACAGGUUGGUUUACUAUCUACGUACGCUAUAAGGUUGCACAUUUAUGGCAAGCCAAAUGUUUAUCGACUGCUUUCGCAACAUAUCUUCUCAGUCCCUCGCUAUGAGUUUCUAAUGAUAACGUGACGCAUCCAAACUUUAUACCACUGAUGGCACAAUUGCACAUGACUCAUACGUGAUACAUUGAAUUUUAGUUUACGAUCCAAACACGUCACUUGUCUCGUUUAGUAAGUCUAAUCCUGUUCCCUAUGAACUAGUACGUUUAAAGCAAUUACCAUAAUUUUUUUUUCUAGGAAACCAAACGUUUCGCACACAGAGACCCCUAGGCAACCAUACAAAAAAAACUGAAAGAACAAAGAACGAACUUUUUGUUGUUGUUUAAGACGAAAAUGGUUUAAAGCGGGAUUCGCUAAAAAUCCUUACUUGCUGUCAAAUUAAAAUAACACGGCUAGUUCGUGGUCCCAUUCAAGCUAAAACAAUCAAAAGAUUGCUCGAGUUCCGAAUAGCCCAUCACCUGGAUUUACUGUCCUUUGUUUUUGUCAUACAAGGAAAAAGCAUUCUUGUUACAUAAGACAAGCGUUGGAACCGCAGAUAUAGAUCAGUUCCUCGUAAAAAUGAUAUACAGACUAUGCACAUGUUCCUAAUUCUGAUCUU